AUAUGUGAACAAGCUCCCUAGAGAGGGAUUUCAGUGUUGUUGCAGGAACUCGUCAGAAGAGUGCAGUGCAUGGUAACAGAGAGCAGUGCUGAUGUCACACAACAAGUCUUAUGAGCAGAUCAAUACCCUUCACUGGACAGGCUUACACAUCUGAAGCAAAGUUAUGGGUCCAAAAUCUUGCCCAGCUUCACCAUCUGGACCAACAAGGGCUCCUACUUCUUCUCACUCAUCUCCCUUUGCUGGUCAGAGGUGCAGUGAGCACGUUCCCAUGCAAGGCUGGACUGGGCCUCCUCAGUGAUGUGUGGUGUGCAGGCUGCCUACCAUGCCUGAUGUGGUGACAACACAUAAAGCCGCCUCCAUCUCUGGAACUCUGUGGAAUUUUUACAGCAGAGUACAUCUAAUGGAUGCUAGAAAAAACAAACUCCACUUGUUUUGUCACAAGAAGUAAAUAGGGUGAGCACAUCAACUGUAUUUAGCUACUCUGAAAUCCAUGCUGCAUGUAGUAUGUGUGCAUGCACAGAAGAGGAAGAAGAGUGAGGAGUCACAGCACUGCAGAACCUUCCCAGACAUAGCAAAUUCCUGCUGCUUUAGAAGUGAACUGAUGGCUACAGAAGGUCAAUGGAUCUAGAAACAAGGCAUGAAGAUGUAAACUAAGUACAAAGCAAUGCGGACGGUCACUGAAUACCAGAAAAACGAAUCUGCAUGCAACCUGC